rnacentral:lncRNA from 1 species
GUAAUAUCAGGCAAUUCACCUAGAAUUCAGAAAGCAACAAAUAGAACAAUUCCUCUCUCUUGGGACUUCAUUUUCUUGGAUCUGAAUUUUUAAGUCCUGAAGAUUCUGAAAUAUUCCAAAGGAUUAGGAGUUUAAAAUUCUCUCUUCCUCAUGGAGGAAAACCAGGAGAUAUACAAAGAGGUAUCCUGCUAGAGGAUCCCAGGCUAACGAUGGAUUAGGGAAGAACAGAUGAUGUGUCCAAGCGAGGAGGACAUAAGAGAAGCAAGGUGCCAAAUAAAGAAUGAGAGGUCAAAUGUAAUACAAUUUGCUGACUGUAAGGGGGAGAGUUUUUUUCCCCAAAAUGCCAAAGUACAUAAAGAUAAAGGUGAAAGUUUCCUCUCACCAGUUCCAGUGUUAACAGUGAGAGUUCUUGGGCAAGCCCUCCCCAAAUGACCGAAAUGGCCCUCCUGCUACUCCAGGACUACAUUUUACCAGCAUAGUGACAAAGUAAAAAGCAAAUGAUUAGUUCAAGCCAGUGAUGUGAAGGACACAAUUGGAGAUACUGGUUACUUUACAAAGCAUUUAACUGGAAUGGCAUAUUUUCCAUAAUGACCAGACUGCUUUGAGGAAUUAAGGUUGACUUAUAAAGCUCAAAAAAAGCUUCUUGGAAAGGCUGGUCUGGUAUGUUGUCUGCAAGGUUCCUUUACAAGUUCCCUGACCUUUGGUAACUAAGGAAUGUCACUUUCUGACAGUCCCAGGAACCUCAAAUUAUUUGAGCACUUUGAGGAAAGAGGAACUCACCCAAUUCAUACAGAUAUUGCAAUAGUCUGAUGGCAAAUCCUUGGCAUGGCUUCUAGCCUUGAGGCUUUUAAAAGUCUAAUCUGAGAUUCCUUAUGAAAAAGUUCCAGCAAAGUCAGUCUUAAAAGAGUUUAUAUGCAGCCUGAAUGACAUAGUAAGAAUCCCAUCUCUAAAAGAAGAAGAAAAAUAAAUAAAAAUAAAAAAGCC